rnacentral:sRNA from 2 species
CCUGAAAAGUAGUAGCAAAACAUCACAAAAAUAAUCAAAAUAUCCACAUAUCUCUAGAAUCAUUCAAAUAUUAUUCAAUUCAUUCAAAUACACAUCUUUAUCAUCAAAUAUGCAUCUUUAUCAUCAAAUCUGUCAAUAUAUCCUCUCAGCUCAGUGAAUUUAUCAUCAAUAAGAUUAUAUAUCUUCUAAAUAAUAAUUAUAUAUCUACUCAAAUUACAUAGAUCAUUGAGUAUUAUCUGAUCACUGUAUAUUAAAUUCAAUAAAAUAUUCACUGCUUUGAAACUGCUAGAAGUUUUUAUUCAAUAUAAAAUAUAAAGUCAA